UUGAAUUGUGCAUUUGUUAUUGUUCAUUGUCUAGUGCUUGUAUUGAUGGUGUCAGUGCUCCACCCACAAAGGGGUGGAGCCAGGAUGUGAUGUAAUGGCAGGAAGAAGGUGUGUCUUGCUCUUUGCUGGUUCCUGCUUGUUGUUUGCAGCUGCCAUGAACUUCGGCCCAGCCGUGCCCGCCUGCCUUGGAGCCAACUGAGUGUGGACUGAAACCUCCAAAAACUGAUAGAUGAGAGGAAAAUUAUAGGUAAAUGAAGACUGUGAUGGGACUGUGAAAUUCUUCUUGUUAAUUCUUGUUACCUGAUGCCAAAGAAUUAUAUUUUGUCAAAUUACCUAUUCCAAUGUCAGCUUCUCCAUUUUGAAUUAUAAUUUCUUCACAAGGGCCUCUUGAUUGUUACGUAUCUGAAUUUUUCAAUCUGUUAGCAGAAAUUUAAAACAUGUAAUUUUAGUUCUGUAUCCAAAUCUUUGAUGCAUCUGAAAUUAAUCCAAUGUAAAAAGUCAAUCUUAUUCCUAUAAUUUUUUCAAAAGAAAGACUACCAAGCUUUCCCCUGGGGAUUUGAAUUGCCACUUCUAUCUAAUCCAAAUGAUGAAGGCCUUUUAUUCUCUUUUUGCUCUUUCUAUCAUGUUGUUAUGACUAUUUUUAUUCAUAUACUAUGAUCUAGAGCUAAUCUUUGGAGUCUUUCAGCAGAGCUCCAGUGAAAUUUUGAUUUCUAAGGGGCCAGUGAUCCCUUAAGGGUUUGAUGGGCGUGCAGUCUGAGAUGAAGAAAACCAGUCUUUCUUCCUCUUUGCUAUAUUUUGGGAGAGAGCCUAUUUCAAGGAUAUCUGGGAUAAGGUAAGAGAUGUGGAAGUAAGAAACAGAGUGGGGAAUGUGUUUGUAAGUGGAUUUGGGAGUUUCCACCCCCAGUAGAAAGAGAUUGGGCAAAAGUGUAAACAAUUGUCUUUAAAAAGACGGUGAGAAUCUAAAAGCACAUAUUGUUUCCCAUGAAAUUUGUAAGAUAAAUUACUAGAUGAAGUCAAAAGCAGGGCCAUUUUAUUCCAACUUUUCCAGAAGUCCUGAUUUGUCAUAGGAUAAUUCACCUUGCUGAUAGUUUGGAGUAACUCCCUAGGAUUCCUCCCAGGACGUAGACAAGCAGUAAACACAAAGUCUAAGCAGGCAGUGAUUCUUUUAUCAAAUUCUACACUUAAUAAAAGUAGAUUUGUUUCAGAAAACUUGUUUAAUUUUUUCCUCCAUUGUUGCAGCUUCCUCCCUAGUCUUAGAAAAAUAAUGAGACACAAAGCAUGACAUCUGUGAAGUUGAAAUGGACAUUUAGCUGAAGUUAAUUUGAUGUCUUAGUGUUUCCUAGCUAGAGGGCAUAAAUUAAGAAUCAGUAUCCUUAAUUUCAUCACCUGCUUGGUAAUAAAAUACUCAUUUUAAAGAAGUUUGAACUGGGGGCUGGGGAUUUCGCUCAGCAGCGUAAGUACCUGCCUUGCAAGCAGACGGUUGUGAGUUCGAUCCCCGGUACCCAUAAAAAAAAAGAAAAAAGGAAAAAAAAAAAAAAAAAAGAAGUUUUAAUUGAAGUAUGCAAAAAAGGAAGUUCGAUAUAUUUUGAAAUUUCUUUUUAAAAAAUUAGUAAAGAACUCUAAUAGCAAAAUAAUGGAUGAACAUUUUUUGAUAACUUAAAAGUUUGAUAUUGGAGUUGAGAACUUAAUUGUACUCUUUUUACCAACAUUUUACAUUUGGAAUUUUUCUUCGUAAAAUUCUCCUUCAAAUUUAUAAUUUAAAAAGUUCUCAGAUCCAAAAAUAGCACACCAAAUAAGAUACAAAUAUAUAGAUGAUCCUUUCCAAGGGGAGGUAUUACAGUAUUGUUCAAUUUUCAAGCGUAAGAAAAACGUGCAUUGAAAUGCUCUCUCUGCUUAGCCUCAGGGGAAUCACUGCUUUGUGUCUUAAGAUCUGUCUGCAUAGCCACGCAGACGUGCAGACAUUAGGCUGUGCUUUUUUGGCGACACUGCCUGAUAUGUGAGCUAGAAAACAUAGGGAUGUCUUUGUGUGAUGCUUUUCAAAUUGAUCUAAAGUUUUGAAAUAGUUCAGCUUCUAAACUAUCUUCUUUAGUUCAAGACUAAAGAAAAUUUUCUUUUAUUGCUAUAGAUGAACGGCGAAGAAGUUUAAAGUCAAAUAGAGAGUUUCCAAGAGCUUAACAAAAGUUAAAAUCUUGUGUGCUUUCUAUAAUCACCACUUUUAGAUGUGUUUUAUUUUCAUUUUCUUUGAAGAAGCAAGAAAUGAAUUGUGCAAAGAUUUAUGCCAUUUAAUGUCACAGUUGAUUACCAACGGAAAUUGGAAGAAUGCAAUUUUUAUUACUUUAUGUAAAAGAAAGCUAUAUUUCAGAAUGAAAUGAGAUUGGUUAGAUGGACAGAUUUAAUUUUUAAGAAUGUAUGUUAUCUUGAAGGAUAUAUUUGUAUAAAUUGAGAAAGUUAAUUCUAAAUUAUUUGAAUUACGUGAUUCAUCUGACCUGGUAAUAGUCAUAUUUUAUUGUAAAUAUAACAUUAAACAAGCUUUUCUUGUAUUAUGUUUCUGAUUUUUAUGUUUGUUAUGAUGUCCUAAAUAUUAAAAAGUACAUAAGAUACUGUAAUGUUUAUUAAUAUAGUGAAUUAAGUAUCUAUUAUUUGGCAUUUGUUGUUCACAUUCCAUAAUGUCCAGCAUAAUAGACAUUAAAUGUUUAUUAACCUCCUAUAAAUUAUACUCAUUUAUUAAUGCUGAUGAAUGUAUACACAUUCUUUUAUCUUUCAUAGAGCGAUUGUCUUAUGAAGUUAAUUAUUCUCAUGUUAAUAGCAGACUUCUUGUGACUGUUAUCUCAAAAAAAUUUUUAAAAAAUGCACAUAUGUCCUAUUUUUCCUUCUCUAUUUCCUCCAGAUCAUAUAACAACUUUAAGUAUUUUCAAGUGUUUAGUAUGAACUAGACACACUGCAAAUAUUACACAUGAGCUUGAUUUACAAAAGAGUUUAUAUAGUAUGAGGAAGGAGUUGUUGAAUUAUUUGAUGUUCCUUAAAUAUCAUAUAAUUUUGUAUAUAAUUGCUUGUUUUAAAUAUAUUUAUAUAUUUAGACCACUUGACAAACUGUUCUUCAUCAUUCCAAAUCAAUUACAUGGUGAUUAAAUAUCAAUCUUUCUUUUUUCUAAAGUAGCCUAUGAGUUUCACUGAUUGGAUAAUGUAGUUACAUUUCCUAGCAAGCACAUACCAUCUCUCUAGCCAGGUAUAAAAUAUGUUUUUCUUUCUUUCUUUCUUUCUUUCUUUCUUUCUUUCUUUCUUUCUUUCUCUUUCUUUCUUUCUUUCUUUCUUUCUUUCUUUCUUUCUUUCUUCCUUCCUUCCUUCCUUCCUUCCUUCCUUCUUUCCUUCCUUUCUUUUGUAAAUUGGAUGAUACAUGUGUCAUCUGAUUGCUCUAAUUCACAAUAAAAUAGGCUGCUUUAAUAUUGUACAAUUUCCACAUUAUUAAAAUAACGUGCUUAUUUAAAAUGCACUUAUUUAAUUGGAAAAUAAAGAAAAUAUAAAAUCAAAUAUCUAGAUUUCACAUACAGAAAGGAUACAUAUAGUAACUUAACCAGGAAUUAAUUUAAUUUUCUCCUGUAACACAAAGAACAUCAGGGCUGAGAAAUAUGUAGCCAUGAUUUGAUUUCCAAAAAAUAGUUUUAUCAUCCUUUUCCAACAUCCUUACAAGAAUACUGCUACCUACAAUGCUACAAACACGUCUGAGGUACAGAGGGGCAGAAGGAAGGGAAAAAAAAUGAAAAACAAAAGUAGACUUGUGCUAGCUAUAUGGUACUUUUUAGCUUCAUUGUUGUUGGGAAUUUGUUUUAAAAUAUCAACUGCUUGUUGAAAGUGUUAUUAA